UCGGACUGUAGUCUGCAACCCGACUACACGAAGCCGGAAUCGCUAGUAAUCGCGAAUCAGAAUGUCGCGGUGAAUACGUUCCCGGGUCUUGUACACACCGCCCGUCACACCAUGGGAGUCGGAAAUGCCCGAAGUCAGUGACCCAACCGCAAGGAGGGAGCUGCCGAAGGCAGGUCCGGUAACUGGGGUGAAGUCGUAACAAGGUACC
rnacentral:rRNA from 1 species